rnacentral:lncRNA from 1 species
GUGGCUGCAUGCCAGCCAGACACCCAGUCUUGCAAGACUGUCAUUGAAAAUCUCCGUUUUGCUGUUCUCCGGGUCUCUGCGUCCAGUCUUUGUGUUUGGACGGACCUGCCGGGCCAUCUUUCUGCAAGAAGAUAAAGGAAGACCAGGAGUGCCUGCCGAACUCCUAUGGAGGAAGUCUAGGAGAGGAAGGGGACAGGGAGGAAGAUGGUGUCUGCAAACCAGGAAGCAGCCUUGCCAGACACAGGAUUGGCCACAACCUUGACCCCAGACUUCCAGCCUCCAGAACUGUGAGAAAUAAAUGUCCAUAUUGACUAGGGGCACAGGGCAUGGGGGAACUGGUUCCAGACCUGCCUCCUGGGAAGUUGGGAGGGGGCAUUUCAACCUGUUAAUUUCUCAAAUUAUGUAGUCAUU